CAGCCGCCGCGGUAAUACCGGCGGCCCGAGUGGCGGUCACUAUUAUUGGGCUUAAAACGUCCGUAGCCGGGUUGGGAAGUCCUCCGGGAAAUCUGGCCGCUUAACGGUCAGAAUGCCGGAGGAUACUCCCAGCCUAGGGAGCGGGAGAGGCCGAGGGGAUUCCCGGAGUAGGGGGGAAAUCCUAUAAUCCCGGGAGGACCACCUGUGGCGAAGGCGCUCGGCUGGAACGCGUCCGACGGUGAGGGACGAAGGCCAGGGGGGCAAACCGGAUUAGAUACCCGGGUAGUCCUGGCUGUAAACGAUGCGGACUUUGUGUCGGACAAGCUAUGAGCUUGUCCGGUGCCGGAGGGAAACCGUUAAGUCCGCCGCCUGGGGAGUACGGCCGCAAGGCUGAAACUUAAAGGAAUUGGCGGG
rnacentral:rRNA from 1 species